GACGAAGGGGGCUAGCGUUGUUCGGAAUUACUGGGCGUAAAGCGCGUGUAGGCGGUUGCCCAAGUCGGGUGUGAAAGCCUUGAGCUCAACUCAAGAAAUGCACUCGGUACUGGGUGACUAGAGGACCGGAGAGGAUAGUGGGAUUCCCAGUGUAGUGGUGAAAUACGUAGAGAUUGGGAAGAACACCAGUGGCGAAGGCGGCUAUCUGGACGGUUUCUGACGCUGAGGCGCGAAAGCGUGGGGAGCGAUCCGG
rnacentral:rRNA from 1 species